AUGAUAUAUAAUCGGUUUUUGAUGAUUUACCUUCUGGCUGAUAAAUUGUCUUCAUUCCCUAUAGCUGAUUGCAAAGUACAAUUACUAGGAGUUGAUUUUACUGGUGGUGAUACUUCUGAACCUUGCACAUUUAUUUUCUCAUCUUCAUCUGACUGUGAAGUAUUUUCUUCGGAUAGAAAUAAUUCUUUCUCUUCAUUAAAGUCCCAUUCCACCAAUAACUCAAUAAUAACCUCUGCAUAUUUUUUUACCCAAAAUUGUUGCUUUUUUACUUAUGCAAUUAUUAUCACUUGAUGUUCCUUCAAUAAUUUUAAAUUUUUCUAAAAUUUGGCUACAAAUCUUUCGUCCAUCUAUAAUAUCCUGCUUUCCAUAUGAGGCCAUAUGUGAAAAUAUAUCCAUUUCAAUGUCAAGCCUUCCAUGACUGCACUUAUGGAAGGCUGCUCAGAAAAAUGUUUAACUGAUCCUACCAUUUUAUGAAGAUUGUCAAAAAAAUUAUCUUGUAUUAAAGCAAUCAAUGCUGAUAUCCACUACUACUACUGCCUGAAAACAAAACCGGAAAUGAUUGGGCUGCAUAUAUUUAUGUUAGAGUAAAAACUUAUCUGUUUGAAUUGGAAUAGUCCAUUGUUGACAUGUAUUAUAAUUAAUAAUUAUAAAUGAAAAGUAACAUUCACAGGUCAGUUGUUAAGGUUGCAAAAUAACAAGUAACAUGAUCAAAAUAACAAAUAAAAUGUAAUAAAUUUACAAAAUAUAUAAUUUUAUUUUGUAAAUAUU
rnacentral:lncRNA from 1 species